rnacentral:rRNA from 1 species
GACGAACGCUGGCGGCGUGCCUAACACAUGCAAGUCGAACGGAAAGGCCCUGCUUUUGUGGGGUGCUCGAGUGGCGAACGGGUGAGUAACACGUGAGUAACCUGCCCUUGACUUUGGGAUAACUUCAGGAAACUGGGGCUAAUACCGGAUAGGAGCUCCUGCUGCAUGGUGGGCGUUGGAAAGUUUGGGCGGUUGGGGAUGGACUCGCGGCUUGUGAGCUUGUUGGUGGGGUAGUGGCUUACCAAGGCGUUGACGGGUAGUCGGCGUGAGAGGGUGGUCGGCGACCUGGGGAGUGAGACGGCGCCCAGAGGGCUACGGUAGGCAGCAGUAGCGAAUGGGAGACAAUGGUGGGGAGUAUUGCACAGCGAUCGCGAGUGUGAGACGAAGGCCCUGCGGUCGGAAAGACGGCUUGUGGGGUGUGAACAGCUUUCGCCUGAGACGAAGCGUGAGUGACGGUAAUGUAUGAAGAAGCACCGGCUAACUACGUG